GACGAACGCUGGCGGCGUGCUUAACACAUGCAAGUCGAACGAAGUGGCGAACGGGUGAGUAACGCGUAAUCAACCUGCCCUUCAGAGGGGGACAACAGUUGGAAACGACUGCUAAUACCGCAUACUGAAGGCGGGGAUUGCGUCCGAUCAGCUCGUUGGGGGGGUAACGGCCCACCAAGGCGAUGAUCAGUAGCCGGGCUGAAAGGAUUAACGGCCAAACUGGGACUGAGACACGGCCCAGACUCCUACGGGAGGCAGCAGGGGGGAAUCUUCCGCAAUGGACGAAAGUCUGACGGAGCAACUCCGCGUGAGUGAUGACGGCCUUCGGGUUGUAAAGCUCUGUUAAUCGGGACGCGGUACCGGAAUAGAAAGCCACGGCUAACUACGUGCCAGCAGCCGCGGUAAUUC
rnacentral:rRNA from 1 species